rnacentral:rRNA from 1 species
UACGUAGGGGGCUAGCGUUGUCCGGAAUCAUUGGGCGUAAAGAGCGUGUAGGCGGUCCGGUAAGUCCGCUGUGAAAGUCGGGGGCUCAACCCUCGAAUGCCGGUGGAUACUGUCGGGCUAGAGUGUGGUAGGGGAGACUGGAAUUCCUGGUGUAGCGGUGAAAUGCGCAGAUAAUCAGGAGGAACACCGAUGGCGAAGGCAGGUCUCUGGGGCCCACUACCUGACGCUGAGAAGCGAAAGCAUGGGGAGCGAACAGG